rnacentral:lncRNA from 1 species
CGACGACGACGACGAGCGGUCUCCAGAACUGACCUGAGGUGUGGGGGGGCCGGGGUGCGUCGAGUUCGGGCUGAGGUGUGAGGGAAGAGAGACGGCCCGAGCUAGUGUGAUCAGUCUGCCUGCCUCUGUGAUCCCCCGCAGCACUGGCUGGAAGUCCGCCGCGUGUCAGUGAGGAGCUGCUGCAGAAGGAAGAAGAAGAAGCAGCGUGGGGACCUGGGAGGCAGGAGCAAGCAAGAAGAGGAAGCGGAAGCGUGCAGAUGCGGGGGGGAAGGAGAGAGGCUCCCUGGGCAAAGCACCUGUCCCGUUAGCAGGGGCACAGUCACGUUUGAGUUGAGAGCUGCCGGCGCCUUUGGUGACCAGGCUGGCGUUGUGCUGGCGACCUCCCCGUAAGCGGGGCUCGGGUCUUUGCUGUAGUUGGCCUUUUGCCUUGCUGCUCCUUUGGCUGCCUGGGGAGCGUGGCCCCCUGUAACGGAGGGCGAGAGCCACCUCUCCGCACCUGAGUGGGAAAUGGAGCUCGCCGGACCCCAAGGCCACCCUGUAAGCAGGGUAGUGCCGUUUCCCUGCCCCUCUUCCUCCCCCGGCCCCUCGGCAUCGUUGCCUGAUGGUGGCUUGUCAAUGCGACGGCCCCGUACUCGGGGUGUGUGUCCCAAGCUUCGGAGCCCUCUGUCCCUGAGCAGCCCGCCCGCCCUGUAAUCAGGUGUGGGGAGGCUGCAGCGUUGCAGCCGGCUGCUUUAGCCAUCCAGCUGGUGGGAGUGACCCCUCCCUGUCCCGUCAGAGGGUGCAGGUUGAGGUGCUGUUUGUGUGUGGGGUGACCUCCCCGCUCGGUGGGUCGAGGUAGCUCCCUGGGCUUCCAAAGACGAGACGUUGGUGAUGUUCUGGUGCUGCCGGGCGGGCCAGCCUGUAACUCAGGCGUUGGCGGGAGCCUCGUGCUCCGCGGGGCUUCUUGAAGAGGGUGAGGUGUGGGGGUACCGUCCUGUAGGCAGGGCUGUGUGUGCCCCCCGUGUGUGCUUGGUGAGCUGCGUUCUGAGAGACCCCCUGUACUCAGGUGGGAAUGUGGCCCCGGCCUUUCAGAGGCGCGGGGCCGUGAGAUGCGGGGUGGGGCUUGCGCCCUCCCUGGAAUCGGGGCUGGGAUCCCGACUGCGGCCUUUGGCCGUGCCGCCCCGCUGCCUGGCUGCUGAGAGUUGCUCCUGCCGCUGGGGGGGAAACCGAGCUCUGUGGCUCCAGGGGUGUUGUCCACCCGCCUGUAAUCAGGGUCUGGGUGCGUGAGCGUUUGUGCUCUGCUGGCAGCCUGUGUGGGGUGACCGCCCCGCUAGCGGGGUGUGGGUCGAGGUGCCCCGGACUGGGAGAGAAGGAGCCUCCCUCGGCCGUAGGGAUGGGGGCUGCCCUGUAAGUCAGGGAGCAUCUGUGUCCCGGAGUCCCAGGCCCUUUUCGAUGGCGGCAGUGGCCGGGGGUCCCCUGUAAGCAGGGAAGCUGACUCUUUGGCUGCUGCUUUUUGUGUGCCCAGCCCCAUUUGCCCAGUCUGCCCGCCUCUGUGAUCCCCCGCAGCACUGGC